rnacentral:rRNA from 1 species
UACGGGAGGCAGCAGUGGGGAAUAUUGCACAAUGGGCGCAAGCCUGAUGCAGCCAUGCCGCGUGUAUGAAAAAGGCCUUCGGGUUGUAAAGUACUUUCAGUCGUGAGGAAGGUGUUAAGGUUAAUAACCUUAGCAAUUGACGUUAGCGACAGAAGAAGCACCGGCUAACUCCGUGCCAGCAGCCGCGGUAAUACGGAGGGUGCGAGCGUUAAUCGGAAUUACUGGGCGUAAAGGGCACGCAGGCGGUUAAUUAAGUUGGAUGUGAAAUCCCCGGGCUUAACCUGGGAAUGGCAUUCAAGACUGGUUAGCUAGAGUCUUGUAGAGGGGGUAGAAUUCCAUGUGUAGCGGUGAAAUGCGUAGAGAUGUGGAGGAAUCCGGUGGCGAAGGCGGCCCCUGGACAAAGCUGGACGCUCAUGUGCGAAAGC